UACUAUGUUACGACUUAUCAAAUAAUAACGAGAGCGACGGGCGAUGUGUACAUAUCUCAGAACCAAUUAUCACAAAAACAAUCUUCAAAAUAUUACAAUCAAAUCCAAUUUCAUGCCAGUAAUUAAAACCAACAAUCCAAACACAAAUAACAAUGUAAUCCACCAAAACACUUAGAGAAAGCUGCACCUUGACCUGAAAUCAAACCAAAUAUAGGAACAAGAAAAUUAUAUGCCCUAAAAAGAUAAUCAAUAAACGGCGGUAUACAAACCAAUAAACAACCAAGUAAGGUCCAACGUGGACUAUCGAUAACGAGACAGGUUCCUCUGAACGGAAUAAGAUACCGCCAAAUUCUUUAAGUUUCAAGAACAUAACUAAUACUACUCAGGCAAACAUUAACAUUCAAAAUAAAUAGGGUAUCUAAUCCUAGUUU
rnacentral:rRNA from 1 species